rnacentral:rRNA from 1 species
GGGUUGUGAGGUUAAGCGACUAAGCGUACACGGUGGAUGCCCUGGCAGUCAGAGGCGAUGAAGGACGUGCUAAUCUGCGAUAAGCGCCGGUAAGGUGAUAUGAACCGUUAUAACCGGCGAUUUCCGAAUGGGGAAACCCAGUGUGACUCGUCACACUAUCAUUAACUGAAUCCAUAGGUUAAUGAGGCGAACCGGGGGAACUGAAACAUCUAAGUACCCCGAGGAAAAGAAAUCAACCGAGAUUCCCCCAGUAGCGGCGAGCGAACGGGGAGGAGCCCAGAGCCUGAAUCAGCAUGUGUGUUAGUGGAAGCGUCUGGAAAGGCGCGCGAUACAGGGUGACAGCCCCGUACACAAAAGCGCAUGUGCUGUGAGCUCGAUGAGUAGGGCGGGACACGUGGUAUCCUGUCUGAAUAUGGGGGGACCAUCCUCCAAGGCUAAAUACUCCUGACUGACCGAUAGUGAACCAGUACCGUGAGGGAAAGGCGAAAAGAACCCCGGCGAGGGGAGUGAAAAAGAACCUGAAACCGUGUACGUACAAGCAGUGGGAGCACCCUUUUGGGUGUGACUGCGUACCUUUUGUAUAAUGGGUCAGCGACUUAUAUUCUGUAGCAAGGUUAACCGCAUAGGGGAGCCGGAGGGAAACCGAGUCUUAAUUGGGCGUUAAGUUGCAGGGUAUAGACCCGAAACCCGGUGAUCUAGCCAUGGGCAGGUUGAAGGUUGGGUAACACUAACUGGAGGACCGAACCGACUAAUGUUGAAAAAUUAGCGGAUGACCUGUGGCUGGGGGUGAAAGGCCAAUCAAACCGGGAGAUAGCUGGUUCUCCCCGAAAGCUAUUUAGGUAGCGCCUCGUGAAUUCAUCUCCGGGGGUAGAGCACUGUUUCGGCUAGGGGGCCAUCCCGGCUUACCAACCCGAUGCAAACUGCGAAUACCGGAGAAUGUUAUCACGGGAGACACACGGCGGGUGCUAACGUCCGUCGUGAAGAGGGAAACAACCCAGACCGCCAGCUAAGGUCCCAAAGUCAUGGUUAAGUGGGAAACGAUGUGGGAAGGCCCAGACAGCCAGGAUGUUGGCUUAGAAGCAGCCAUCAUUUAAAGAAAGCGUAAUAGCUCACUGGUCGAGUCGGCCUGCGCGGAAGAUGUAACGGGGCUAAACCAUGCACCGAAGCUGCGGCAGCGACGCUUAUGCGUUGUUGGGUAGGGGAGCGUUCUGUAAGCCUG